ACGAACGCUGGCGGCGUGCCUAAUACAUGCCAGUAGAACGCUGAAGGAAGGAGCUUGCUCUUUCUGGAUGAGUUGCGAACGGGUGAGUAACGCGUAGGUAACCUGCCUGGUAGCGGGGGAUAACUAUUGGAAACGAUAGCUAAUACCGCAUAAAAUUGAUUAUUGCAUGAUAGUCAAUUAAAAGGUGCAACUGCACCACUACCAGAUGGACCUGCGUUGUAUUAGCUAGUUGGUGGGGUAACGGCUCACCAAGGCGACGAUACAUAGCCGACCUGAGAGGGUGAUCGGCCACACUGGGACUGGGACACGGCCCAGACUCCUACGGGAGGCAGCAGUAGGGAAUCUUCGGCAAUGGACGGAAGUCUGACCGAGCAACGCCGCGUGAGUGAAGAAGGUUUUCGGAUCGUAAAGCUCUGUUGUAAGAGAAGAACGAGUGUGAGAGUGGAAAGUUCACACUGUGACGGUAUCUUACCAGAAAGGGACGGCUAACUACGUG
rnacentral:rRNA from 1 species